rnacentral:rRNA from 1 species
AACAAACGCUGGCGGCGUGCCUAAUACAUGCAAGUCGAACGCAGUAGCAAUACUGAGUGGCGCACGGGUGAGGAACACGUGGAUAAUCUACCUUUGAGUGGGGAACAACCUUUCGAAAGAAGGGCUAAUACCGCAUAAGACCACAGACACUUCGGUGACAGGGGUCAAAGGGGGCGUAAGCUCUCGCUUGAAGAUGAGUCCGCGCUCGAUUAGCUAGUUGGUAGGGUAAGAGCCUACCAAGGCGACGAUCGAUAGCUGGUCUGAGAGGACGACCAGCCACACUGGAACUGAGACACGGUCCAGACUCCUACGGGAGGCAGCAGUAGGGAAUAUUGCACAAUGGAGGAAACUCUGAUGCAGCGACGCCGCGUGAGUGAUGAAGGCCUUCGGGUCGUAAAGCUCUGUUGUACGGGAAGAAGGUCAUUUACCUAAUACGUAAGAGGCUUGACGGUACCGUAUAAGAAAGGACCGGCUAACUUCGUGCCAGCAGCCGCCGUAAGAC